UACGGAGGGUGCAAGCGUUAUCCGGAUUUACUGGGUUUAAAGGGUGCGUAGGCGGGCAGGUAAGUCAGUGGUGAAAUCUUCGAGCUUAACUCGGAAACUGCCUUUGAUACUAUCUGUCUUGAAUAUUGUGGAGGUAAGCGGAAUAUGUCAUGUAGCGGUGAAAUGCUUAGAUAUGACAUAGAACACCUAUUGCGAAGGCAGCUUACUACGCAUAUAUUGACGCUGAGGCACGAAAGGCGUGGGGGAUCAAACAGG
rnacentral:rRNA from 1 species